GGAAGCGUCUGGAAAGACGCGCGAUACAGGGUGACAGCCCCGUACACAAAAAUGCACAUGCUGUGAGCUCGAUGAGUAGGGCGGGACACGUGGUAUCCUGUCUGAAUAUGGGGGGACCAUCCUCCAAGGCUAAAUACUCCUGACUGACCGAUAGUGAACCAGUACCGUGAGGGAAAGGCGAAAAGAACCCCGGCGAGGGGAGUGAAAAAGAACCUGAAACCGUGUACGUACAAGCAGUGGGAGCACGCUUAGGCGUGUGACUGCGUACCUUUUGUAUAAUGGGUCAGCGACUUAUAUUCUGUAGCAAGGUUAACCGAAUAGGGGAGCCGAAGGGAAACCGAGUCUUAACUGGGCGUUAAGUUGCAGGGUAUAGACCCGAAACCCGGUGAUCUAGCCAUGGGCAGGUUGAAGGUUGGGUAACACUAACUGGAGGACCGAACCGACUAAUGUUGAAAAAUUAGCGGAUGACUUGUGGCUGGGGGUGAAAGGCCAAUCAAACCGGGAGAUAGCUGGUUCUCCCCGAAAGCUAUUUAGGUAGCGCCUCGUGAAUUCAUCUCCGGGGGUAGAGCACUGUUUCGGCAAGGGGGUCAUCCCGACUUACCAACCCGAUGCAAACUGCGAAUACCGGAGAAUGUUAUCACGGGAGACACACGGCGGGUGCUAACGUCCGUCGUGAAGAGGGAAACAACCCAGACCGCCAGCUAAGGUCCCAAAGUCAUGGUUAAGUGGGAAACGAUGUGGGAAGGCCCAGACAGCCAGGAUGUUGGCUUAGAAGCAGCCAUCAUUUAAAGAAAGCGUAAUAGCUCACUGGUCGAGUCGGCCUGCGCGGAAGAUGUAACGGGGCUAAACCAUGCACCGAAGCUGCGGCAGCGACGCUGAUGCGUUGUUGGGUAGGGGAGCGUUCUGUAAGCCUGUGAAGGUGUGCUGUGAGGCAUGCUGGAGGUAUCAGAAGUGCGAAUGCUGACAUAAGUAACGAUAAAGCGGGUGAAAAGCCCGCUCGCCGGAAGACCAAGGGUUCCUGUCCAACGUUAAUCGGGGCAGGGUGAGUCGACCCCUAAGGCGAGGCCGAAAGGCGUAGUCGAUGGGAAACAGGUUAAUAUUCCUGUACUUGGUGUUACUGCGAAGGGGGGACGGAGAAGGCUAUGUUGGCCGGGCGACGGUUGUCCCGGUUUAAGCGUGUAGGCUGGUUUUCCAGGCAAAUCCGGAAAAUCAAGGCUGAGGCGUGAUGACGAGGCACUACGGUGCUGAAGCAACAAAUGCCCUGCUUCCAGGAAAAGCCUCUAAGCAUCAGGUAACAUCAAAUCGUACCCCAAACCGACACAGGUGGUCAGGUAGAGAAUACCAAGGCGCUUGAGAGAACUCGGGUGAAGGAACUAGGCAAAAUGGUGCCGUAACUUCGGGAGAAGGCACGCUGAUAUGUAGGUGAAGUCCCUCGCGGAUGGAGCUGAAAUCAGUCGAAGAUACCAGCUGGCUGCAACUGUUUAUUAAAAACACAGCACUGUGCAAACACGAAAGUGGACGUAUACGGUGUGACGCCUGCCCGGUGCCGGAAGGUUAAUUGAUGGGGUUAGCCGCAAGGCGAAGCUCUUGAUCGAAGCCCCGGUAAACGGCGGCCGUAACUAUAACGGUCCUAAGGUAGCGAAAUUCCUUGUCGGGUAAGUUCCGACCUGCACGAAUGGCGUAAUGAUGGCCAGGCUGUCUCCACCCGAGACUCAGUGAAAUUGAACUCGCUGUGAAGAUGCAGUGUACCCGCGGCAAGACGGAAAGACCCCGUGAACCUUUACUAUAGCUUGACACUGAACAUUGAGCCUUGAUGUGUAGGAUAGGUGGGAGGCUUUGAAGUGUGGACGCCAGUCUGCAUGGAGCCGACCUUGAAAUACCACCCUUUAAUGUUUGAUGUUCUAACGUUGACCCGUAAUCCGGGUUGCGGACAGUGUCUGGUGGGUAGUUUGACUGGGGCGGUCUCCUCCUAAAGAGUAACGGAGGAGCACGAAGGUUGGCUAAUCCUGGUCGGACAUCAGGAGGUUAGUGCAAUGGCAUAAGCCAGCUUGACUGCGAGCGUGACGGCGCGAGCAGGUGCGAAAGCAGGUCAUAGUGAUCCGGUGGUUCUGAAUGGAAGGGCCAUCGCUCAACGGAUAAAAGGUACUCCGGGGAUAACAGGCUGAUACCGCCCAAGAGUUCAUAUCGACGGCGGUGUUUGGCACCUCGAUGUCGGCUCAUCACAUCCUGGGGCUGAAGUAGGUCCCAAGGGUAUGGCUGUUCGCCAUUUAAAGUGGUACGCGAGCUGGGUUUAGAACGUCGUGAGACAGUUCGGUCCCUAUCUGCCGUGGGCGCUGGAGAACUGAGGGGGGCUGCUCCUAGUACGAGAGGACCGGAGUGGACGCAUCACUGGUGUUCGGGUUGUCAUGCCAAUGGCACUGCCCGGUAGCUAAAUGCGGAAGAGAUAAGUGCUGAAAGCAUCUAAGCACGAAACUUGCCCCGAGAUGAGUUCUCCCUGACUCCUUGAGAGUCCUGAAGGAACGUUGAAGACGACGACGUUGAUAGGCCGGGUGUGUAAGCGCAGCGAUGCGUUGAGCUAACCGGUACUAAUGAACCGUGAGGCUUAACCU
rnacentral:rRNA from 1 species